rnacentral:lncRNA from 10 species
CAAUUUACAACAAUACAUUAUGAGCCACUUGAGGCCUACAGUGAAAAACAGAAUAUCACAAGAUAAAAAAUAGAAACAAGCCAUCUGUAAAAAUAAUUUAUGAUGUGUGGAUUUAUCUCACGAAAUGGAAACUUUCUUUUGAUUUAAGAGGCUGGAAACACUCUUAUUCUAGAAUCUAUGAAGGGACAUUUCUGAGCCCAUUGGGGCCUAUAGUGAAAAAACAAAUAUCCUGCCAUAAAAAUUUGAAACAAGAAAUCUGUGAAAAUGCUUUGUGAUAUAUAGAUUUAUCUCACUGAAUAGAACCUGCAUUUUGACUUACCAGUUUGGGAACACUCUAUUUGUAGAAUCUACGAAGGCAUUGUUCAAAAUUAGGCCUGAGUUCCAUGAGGCCUAUAGUGAAAAACCGAAUGUCCCAAGGCAAAAACUGUAAACAGGCUACCUGUGAAGAUCUUCAGUUUAGUCGGUGAUUCAUCUCAUUGACUAAACCAUGUGUUUUUAUUCACCAGGUUGGGAACACUGUGUUUGUAGAAUCUACAAAGGAAAAUUUCUGAGCCUCUUGAGGCCUAUAGUGAGAAAUGAUAUAUCAUGCGAUAAGAACUAAAAACAAGCUAUCUGUGAAGAUGCUUUGUGACAAGUGGAUUCAUCUCACAGAGUUAAACCUUUCUUUUGAUUCAACAGGUUAAAAAACCUUUCUUUUUCUUUUGUAGAAUCUAUGCAGGGACAUUUUUGUGCUCAUUGAGGCCUACUGUGAAAAACCAAACAUCAGGGGUGGAGCCAAAAAAGCCAAAUAGGAACAGCUCCAGUCUACAGCUCCCAGCAUGAGCCACACAGAAGAUGGAUGAUUUCUGCAUUUCCAACUGAGGUUGAAAGCAUUCUUUUUGUAGAAUCUAUGAAAAGACAUUUCUGAGCUUAUUCUGGUUUAUAGAGUAAAACCGAAUAUCCUGAAAUAAAAACUGGAAACUAGGUUGAAAACACAAUUUUUGAAGUAUCUAUGAUGGGACAUAUCGAAGCCCGUUGAGACUUAGUGAAAAACAGAAUAUCCCCUGACAAAAAUUAGAAACAAGCUUUCUGUGAAAAUGUUUUUUGAUGUCUGUAUUUAUCUCACUGAAUGAAAAAUGCAUUUUGAUUCAAGAUGCUGGAAACACUAUUUUUGUAGAAUCUAUGAAGGGAUAUUUCUGAACUCAUUGAAGUCUACAGUGACAAACCGACUAUCCAAUGAUAAAAACUAGAAAUACGCUGUGAAAAAGUUUUAUGAUGUGUGGAUUCUUCUCACUGAAUUAAACCUGCAUUGUAAAUCAUCAGGACUGAAACCUUCUAUUUGUAGAAUCUAUGAAGGAACAUUUAUGAGCCCAUCGAGGCCUGUAUUGAAAAACAAAGGAUCCUGUGGUAAAAACUAGAAACAACCUAAAUAUGGAAAUGCUUUGAGAAAUGUGAUUCAUCUCACAGAGAUGAAUCUUUGUAUUGAUUCAUCAGGUUGGAAACUCUCUUUUUGUGGAAAAUAAAAGGUCUAAAAAGAGACAUAUCUGAGCCCAUUGUGGCCUACAGUGAAAAACUGAAUUUCUUGAACAAACGCUGGAAACCAGCUAUGUGUGAAAAUGCUUUGUGAUGUGUGGGUUUAUCUCACAAAGUUAAACCAUUGUUUUGAUUCAACAUGUUGGAAACACUCUCUCUGUAGAAUCUAUGAAAAAACAUUUCUGAGCUCAUUGAGAAGUAUAGUGAAAAACCACAUAUCCUGAAAUAGAAACUAGAAACAAGAUACGUGUGGAAUGUUUGUGAUGUGUGGAUUCAUCUCACCAAAUGGAACCUGUAUUUUGAUUCACCCAGUUGGAAACACACUUUUUGUAGAAUCUACGAAGGGACAUUUCAGAGCCCAUUGAGGCCUAUUGUGAAAAAUCAAUUAUCCCAUGGUAAAAACUUGAAACAACCUAUCUGUGAAAAUACUUUGUGAUGUAUAGAUUCAUCUCACAAAGUUAAACCAUUGUUUUUAUUCAACACAUUGGAAACACUAUUUUUUAGAAUCUACAAAUAGAAAUUUCUUAGCUUUUUGAGACCUAUAGUAAGAAACUAAUAUCCCACAAUAAAAACUAGAGACAAGCUGUAUGUGAAAAUGUUUUGUGAUGUGUGCAUUCAUCUAACUGAAUGGCACCUGUGUUUUGAUUCACAAGGUUGGAAACACUUUUUGUAGAAUCUACAGAGGUACAUUUCUGAGCCCAUUGAGGCCUACUGUGAAAAACCAAAUAUUCUGUGAUAAAAAUUAGAAACAAGCUAUCUUUGAAAAUGCUUUGGUAUAUGUGGAUUUAUCUCACAGCAUUUAACCUAUGUUUUGAUUCAACAGGUUGGAACGACUUUUUUAGCAGAAUCUAUGACAGUACGUUUCUUUGUCCUUUUAAACCUAUCAUGAAAAACCAAAUUUCCUGUGAUAAAAACCAGAAACAGGGUUUCUGUGAAAAUGCUUUGUGAUGUGUGGAUUCAUCUCACAGACGUUAACCUUUGUUUUGUUUCAACAGGUUCAAAACACUCUUCCUGUAAAAUCUACUUAGGGACAGUCCUGAGCCCAUUGAGGUCUUUAGUAAAAAACGGAAUAUCCCAUGAUAAAAACUAGAAACAAACUAUCUGGGAAAAUGUUUGUGAUGUGUGGUUUCAUAUCACAGAGUAAAACCUUUGUUUUGAUUUAAAACGUUGAAAUCACUCUUUUUGUAGUAUCUAGAAAUGGAUAUUUCUGAACCCGUUGAUGCUUAUAGUAAAAAAUUAAAUUUUCUACAAUAUAAACUAGAAACAAACUAUCCGUGAAAACGUUUUGUAAUAUGUUAAUUCAGCUCUCAAAAUUAAACUUUUGUUUUUAUUCAACACCUUGGAAAAGCUUUUUUUUUUGUAGAAUUUACAAAGGGACGUUUCUGAGCUCAUUAAGGCUUAUAGUGAAUAACAAAAUAUCCCACCUAAAAUUUAGAAACAAGAUAUCUGUGAAAAUAAUUUCCGAUGUGUAGAUUUAAUGCACAGAGUUAAAACUGUUUUAAUUCCACAGAUUGGAAACUUUUUUUGUAGAAUCUACGAAGGGACAUUUCUGAGCCCAUUGAAACCUAUUGUGAAAAAGCUAAUAUCCCGUGAUAAAAACUAGAAAGCAGCUAUCUGUGAAAACGUUUUGCAAUGUGUGGAUUCAUAUCAAAGGCUUAAAACUUUGUUUUAAUUCAACAGGUUGGAAACUUUUUUUGUAGAAUCUAUGAAGAAACAUUUCUGAGCUCACUGAGGCAUAUUUGGAAAAAUGGGUAUCUCACAAUACAAACUGGAAACAAGCUAUCUGUGGAAACGUUUUAUGAUGUGUGGAUUCAUGUCACAGAGUUAAUCCUUUGUUUUGAUUCAACAGUUUGAAAACACUUUUUUUGUAGAAUAUACAAAAAGACAUUUCUGAGCCCUUUGAAUCCUAUAGUAAAGAAACAAAUAUCUCACGAUAAAAACUAAAAAGAAAUUUUCUGUGAAAAUGCUUUGUGAUGUGUGGAUUCAUCUCAUAGAGUUAAACCUAUGUUUUCAUUCAACACAUUGUAAACACUCUUUUUGUAGAACCUAUGAAAAGACAU